rnacentral:rRNA from 1 species
CAAGACUGAAACUCAAAGGAAUUGACGGGGGCCCGCCCAAGCGGUGGAGCAUGUGGUUUAAUUGGAAGCAACGCGAAGAACCUUACCAGGUCUUGACAUCUUUUGACAAUCCUAGAGAUAGGACGUCCCCUUCGGGGGCAGAGUGACAGGUGGUGCAUGGUUGUCGUCAGCUCGUGUCGUGAGAUGUUGGGUUAAGUCCCGCAACGAGCGCAACCCUUGAUCUUAGUUGCCAGCAUUCAGUUGGGCACUUUAAGGUGACUGCCGGUGACAAACCGGAGGAAGGUGGGGAGGACGUCAAAUCAUCAUGCCCCUUAUGACCUGGGCUACACACGUGCUACAAUGGGCAGAACAAAGGGCAGGGAAACCGCGAGGUUAAGCCAAUCCCACAAAUCUGUUCUCAGUUCGGAUCGCAGUCUGCAACUCGACUGCGUGAAGCUGGAAUCGCUAGUAAUCGCGGAUCAGCAUGCCGCGGUGAAUACGUUCCCGGGCCUUGUACACCCCGCCCGUCAC